AUCCUCCUGUUCAGCUCCCUCACCCGCCGCGCAGUGAUGCCGGAGCUGGAAUGUUGUCAUAUUCCGGCUCCGGCAUCACUGCAGUGUGCGCGAGAGAGCUGAACAGGAGGAUUAGUGC